rnacentral:lncRNA from 1 species
GUUCAUAUUCUCAUGGCAGAGCCCUUUGCCAGUGCAUCAGAAGAUAGGACUCCCCUUCCCUGCCUCCCAAACGAGACGUGGGAACAGCAGCUGUGAGAGCAGAACAUGCCAUGGCACAGCAGUAGCCGGACAUCGCCAACGGAUGGACAGACAGACAGAUGGACGGAGACGGAUGGCCUUCCUGAGGUCAGCAGAGACGUGCAAACACCGCAGGGAGCACGGGCAAGUCAGAUGCUGCGCAGGCAGCUGUUUCCAAACCCCAGCUCGUGCAUGCACCACUACGAUUCUGGCAAUCAACUUAACCCCACGAAAAGACUAUCAUCAUGCCACCCAUUGGGCCGUGUCCAUUGUUCCCAUUUUUCCUUUUUACUAAAGCAGCAGGAGGCUGGAAGUGGCUUGGCCCUCAGUGGUUGCUGCUGCCCAGGGUCUGCGGCUGUGCCAGGCCGGAUCCUGCCCCAUGGCACCGCCAGCAAAGCCCAGGAUGUGCUCAGGGAAUGGGAUCACCACCAGCCUUGAGACUGGGAACAACAUCAGGAAACAAGCAACAACAGCACCAAGACAUUUUUCCCUCUCACCGUAAUACUUACAUAGAUGAGAAGAAAUAACAAGUAAAAUUCACCAUGACACAAGACUGUAAGAAAGAGAAUGGUUAAUUACCACUGAGAUGAGUGUCUUGGCUUGCAGUUGGGCAUUUCCAUGCAUGUCAUCCACCACUGCAUAUUUUUUGCUUCCCCACAGAAGCCAUCCCAAGUGCCCCGUGUGUUCCCCAUCUCUAACCCAGUGUCCCCAUGGAGACCCUCAGCUUGUCCCCUGCACAGCCCUCCACAGAUCCCCUCCUCCGAGCCUUUUGCACCACCUGCAGGAAGACUAAAUCCAAUUUACUCGUUGACAAGAACCCACACAAUCCUCUUAGGAAAGUCUAAGCCACUGUGUGCACCUCCAAGGCCCGACCACGUUGGUUUACACUGGAGGGAAGUUCAAUGCCAUUUUGCCUCUGAUUUUGGUUAAGGAAAAGCCUACGGGUCACACAUAGUGGCUUCCUCAGCAUCCUCCUUGCUGUACAGUGACAGUCAAUAAAAUCCCAUUGCCCAAAAGCUGUGUUUACUUG